GAUGAACGCUGACAGAAUGCUUAACACAUGCAAGUCGAUGGGGAAGUGGUGCUUGCACCAUGGUAACCAUGGCGGACGGGUGAGUAACGCGUAAGGAACUUGCCUGCGGGACUGGGAUAACAGCAGGAAACUGCUGAUAAUACCGGAUAAGGUCAUUAAGCUGCAUAGCUUAGUGAUGAAAGGAGACGCCUGUGGAGAGCCUUGCGUCCUAUUAGCUAGUUGGAGGGGUAACGGCCCACCAAGGCGAAGAUAGGUAGCCGGCCUGAGAGGGUGGACGGCCACAAGGGGACUGAGAUACGGCCCUUACUCCUACGGGAGGCAGCAGUGGGGAAUAUUGGACAAUGGGGGCAACCCUGAUCCAGCAAUUCUGUGUGCACGAAGACGGUUUUCGGAUUGUAAAGUGCUUUCAGCAGGGAAGAAGGAAGUGACGGUACCUGCAGAAGAAGCGACGGCUAAAUACGUGCCAGCAGCCGCGGUAAUACGUAUGUCGCGAGCGUUAUCCGGAAUUAUUGGGCAUAAAGGGCAUCUAGGCGGCCUUCCAAGUCAGGGGUGAAAACCUGCGGCUCAACCGCAGGCCUGCCUUUGAAACUGAUAGGCUGGAGUACCGGAGAGGUGGACGGAACUGCACGAGUAGAGGUGAAAUUCGUAGAUAUGUGCAGGAAUGCCGAUGAUGAAGAUAGUUCACUGGACGGUAACUGACGCUGAAGUGCGAAAGCCGGGGGAGCGAACAGG
rnacentral:rRNA from 1 species